rnacentral:rRNA from 1 species
GACGAACGCUGGCGGCGUGCCUAAUACAUGCAAGUCGAACGCUUCUUUCCUCCCGAGUGCUUGCACUCAAUUGGAAAGAGGAGUGGCGGACGGGUGAGUAACACGUGGGUAACCUACCCAUCAGAGGGGGAUGACACUUGGAAACAGGCGCUAAUACCGCAUAACAGUUUAUGCCGCAUGGCAUAAGAGUGAAAGGCGCUUUCGGGUGUCGCUGAUGGAUGGACCCGCGGUGCAUUAGCUAGUUGGUGAGGUAACGGCUCACCAAGGCCACGAUGCAUAGCCGACCUGAGGGGGUGAUCGGCCACACUGGGACUGAGACACGGCCCAGACUCCUACGGGAGGCAGCAGUAGGGAAUCUUCGGCAAUGGACGAAAGUCUGACCGAGCAACGCCGCGUGAGUGAAGAAGGUUUUCGGAUCGUAAAACUCUGUUGUUAGAGAAGAACAAGGACGUUAGUAACUGAACGUCCCCUGACGGUAUCUAACCAGAAAGCCACGGCUAACUACGUG